rfam:Trichobilharzia regenti genome assembly, scaffold: TRE_scaffold0033407
AUCCAGAUGACGAGUCCCAUAUAGGAGGAAAUGCGCAUCCUGGAU